rnacentral:lncRNA from 10 species
ACCUCGAAGACAUGCUGAGUGAAACAGAGUCACUGUGGUCUCCAAGGUUACGAUCCUGGUUCUCCUCCUCCGCCUGAGCGGAGACUCAGCAGCAAGACACACAUGGCCGAGUCCUUCACCAGAGCCCCUUUGCAUGGACCCCAUGGUGCUUUCCUGGGGAAUGAGGCUGGAUGCCAGAAACCCAGCCCGACUCCUGUGCUCCAAGGCUCAAGAACACUCAGAACACCCCUCUGAAGACCCCCCUUGAGCAGAUGCCCUCAAGGUCUAACCGGCUCAGGAGGGUCCCCAGAGCUCGGUGAUGCUGGCUCAGAGAACCUGGGUAACGGAAAGGAGAGGCAGCUUUUCCCACUCACUGUCUCUGACACAAGCUCAUUCUCCACAGUCAUGUGAGUUUCCCAAACACCUUCCUCCCUCUGGCGUGUCUCUCUCAAGCCUCAGUCCAGUGAAUGUGAUUUAUGAAAGGCCGUGAGGUCAGGCCCACCCAUGGCAACAGCCUCAGCCCCUUCCCCGGCCUCUAACCCAUUCUUCUUCAGUUACGCUUUCCAUGCUCCUUCCUGAUUUGCUCAUCCCCAGAGACGGAUGACCAGGGCUGUGAGCUCUGGUGUCAGAGUUCAUUCCAGAUGCAGGCUUGAAACUGAAGGAGCCAAGUCAGCCCCCUAAGGAAGGUUAUAAUUGCUAAAGGAAAUACUGAGGAGGGAGGUGGAUGGAUGCGCUAUGGCUGAGAGAUUGUGUGUCUUGGGACCUUGGCAACUCAAACUUCUCCACAAAAGCAGAGAAGGAACAAGGAGAAAGUCAGUGGCAGCUGGACCCCAAGGCCACCAGCACCCCAGCAGUGACUGUGUCUAAAGCAAGGUCAUCCACGUAGAUGACUGCAGUGAGAAUGGAUACUCAGCUGCAGAGCGAGAAUGAGCUCUCAUUAUUAGCGGCUGUUUUAAAAUCAUUUAACAAUUUGGGCUAAGGGCUGUUGAGAAUAUAAAACAGUGUGAGCCAAGGAACUUAGCCUCUGGUUAGAAAGGUAAAACUAAUUCAUAAAUACACAUUGAAUGCGAAUAAAAGGCCAUAUGUGAUAGGUUCAUAAUGAACUUAUUCGACAAGCCUGUAUUGAGUGCCUACUGUGUGCUAGAGACUUCAGUUCCUUUUUAAGAUUGUUUUUACUUAUUUUUAAUUGACAAAUAAUAAUUGUACAUAUUUAUGGGGUGCAAUGAGAUAUUUUGAUCUAUCUGUACAUUAUAGAAAGAUUCAAUCAAUCUGAAUAACACUCCCUCACCUCACUAACAUCAUUUUUUGUGUGGUUAGAACAUUAAAUAUCUAUUUUUAGCAAUUUGAAAUAUACAAUGCAUUAUUAUUAACUGAGGUCACUGUGCAGAACAGUCACCAAUACUUGUUCCUCCAGUCUAACUGAAACUUCAUAUCCUUUAAUCAACCUCUUCCCUUUCCCCAUCCCUCCCCCUCAUAUUCCCAGCCCUGCGACUCUCUGUUUCUAUGAGAUCAAUUCUUUAGAUUCCAUAUGUAAGUGAGAUGACACAGUAUUGUCGUUCUGUCCCUGGCUUAUUUCAGUUAGCAUAAUGCCCUCUGGUUCCAUCCAUGUUGUCACAAAUGACAGAAUUUCCUUCUUUUUAAAGGCUGAGUAGUACUCCAUUGUGUAUAUACCACAUUUUCUUUAUCCAGUCAUCCACUGAUGGACACUUAGAUGACUUCUAUAUUUUGGCAAUUGUGAAUAAUGCUGAAAUGAAUGUGGGAGUGCAGAUAUCUCUGCAACAUAUCAAUUCCUCUGGAUAUAUACCCAGAAAUGGGAUGGCUAGAUCAUAUGGUAAUUCCAUUUUUAUCUUUUUGAGGAACCUUCAUACUGUUUUCCAGAAUGGCUGUACUAACCUACAUUCCCAUCGACAGUGUACAAGGGUUCCCUUUUCUCCACAGCCUCACUAAUAAUUAUCAUUUGUCUUUUUGAUAAUAGCCAUUCUCACAGGUGUGAGGUGAUGUCUCAUUGUGUUUUCAAUUUGCAUUUCCCCGAUGAUUAGAGAUGUUGAGCAUGCACUCUGGGAGGCUGAGGCAGGCGGAUCACUUGAGGUCAGGAGUUCAAAACCAGCCUGGCCAAUAUGGUGAAACCCUGUCGCUACUAAAAAUAUAAAAAAAUUAGAAGGGCAUGGUGGUGCACACCUGUAAUCCCCGCUGCUCAGGAGGCUGAGGCAGGAGAAUGGCUUGAACCCGGGAGGUGAAGGUUUCAGUGAGCCGAGAUCGCACCACUGCACUCCAGCCUGGGCGACGUAGUGAGACCCUGUCUCAAAAAAAAAAAAGAAAAAGAAAAAAGGAAAGUAAUGCCACCAGAGGAUACUAUAUCUAGCAAAAUUACCCUUCAUAAAUGAAAGAUAAAUAAAGUCUUUUUCAGACAAACAAUAACUGAGGGAAUUCAUCACCACUAGGUCAACCUUACAAGAAAUGCUCAAAGGAGCACUACACUUGGAAGCAAAGGACAACAGUUACCAUCAUGAAAACACAUAAAAAUAUAAAACUCACCGGUAAACAAACACACAAAUGAGAAAGAGAAAAGACUCAAGUGGUGGGUGUCACUGCAGAAAACCAUCAACGAUAAGGACAAACAAUAAAAGAAAAAGGAACAAAGAACAUAUAAAACAACCAGAAAACAACUAACAAUAUGACAGGAACAAAACCUCACAUAUCAAUAAUAACCUUGAAGGUAAAUACAUUAAAUUCUCUGCUUAAAGGUAUAGAUUGGCUGAAUGGAUUUUUUAAAUGAUCCAACUGUAUGCUGCCUACAAAAAACACACUUUACCUGUAAAGACACAUAAAGACUGCAAGUAAGGGGAUGGAAAAAGAUAUUCUAUGCAAAUGGAAACCAAAAGCAAGCUGAAGUAGCUACACUUAUAUCAGAUAAGACAGACAUUAAGUCAAAAACAGUAAAAAAAAAAGGCAAAGAAAGUCAUUAUAUAAUGAUAAAGGGAUCAAUCCAGCAAGAGGAUAUAACAAUUCUAAAUAUAUAUGCAUCUGACACUAGAGCACCCAGAGUCAUAAAGCAAAUAUUACUAGAUCUAAUGAGAGAGAUAGACUCCAAUGCAAUAAUAGUGGGGGACUUUGAUACCCCACUCUCAGCACUUGACAGAUCAUCUAGAGAGAAAAUUUAAAAAGAAACAUCAGAUUUAAGCUGGACUUUUGGCUAAAUAGACCUAAAGAUAUUUACAGAACAUUUAUGCAAUAACUGCAGAAUACACCUUCUUCUCAUCGGUAAGUGGAACAUUUUCCAGGAUAGACCAUAUGGCACACCACGCCUGUAAUCCCAGCUACGUAGGAGGCUGAGGCAGGAAAAUCGCUUGAACCCGGGAGGCGGAGGUUGCAGUGAGCCGAGAUCGUGCCACUGCACUCCAGCCUGGGCGACAAGAGCGAGACUCUGUCUUAAAAAGUAAUAAUAAUAAAAUAAAAUAAUUUUAAAAAAUGGGCAAAGGAGGUGAAUAGACAUUUCUCAAAAGACAUACAAUGGCCAACAGGUAUAUGAAAAAAUGCUUAAUAUCACCAACAAUCAGGGAAAUGUAAACCAAAACUACAAAGAGAUAUCAUCUCACCCCAGUUAGAAUGGCUAUUAUCAAAAAGUAAAAAAAUAACAGAUGCUAAGGAGGAUGUGGAAAAAAAGUGAACUCUUAAACAUUGCUGGAGGGAAUGUAAAUUAGUACAACCACUACGGAAAGUAGUAUGGAGAUUUCUCAACUAAAAAUAGAUUUACCAUUCGAUUCAGCAAUGCCACUACUGGGUAUUUAGCCAAAGGAAAAGAAAUCAGUAUAUCAAAGGGAUACCUUCACUCACAUGUUUAUUGCAGCACUAGUCACAAUAGCAAAGGUAAGGAAACAAGCUAUAUGUCCAUUAACAGAUGAAUGAAUUAAAAAAUGUCAUAUAUACACACGAUGGAAUACUAUUUGGACAUAAAAAGAGAAUGAAAUCGUGUCAUUUGCAGCCAUAUGGAUGGAACUGGAGGUCAUUAUGUUAAGUGAAAUGUGCCAGGUAUAGAAAGAUAAGUAACGCAUGUUUUCACUCAUUUGUGGGAGCUAGCAAACUUGAUCUCAUGGACAUACAGAGUAGAAUUGAUAGGUACCAGAGAAUGGGCAGGGUGGGUCGGUGGAAGUGGAGAUGAAGAGAGGUUGUUUAAUAGGUACUAACAUAUAGUUAGAUAGAAGAAAUAAGGCCGGGCGCGGUGGCUCACACCUGUAAUCCCAGGACUUUGAGAG